AUUGAACGCUGGCGGCAUGCCUUACACAUGCAAGUCGAACGGCAGCACGGGAGCUUGCUCCUGGUGGCGAGUGGCGAACGGGUGAGUAAUACAUCGGAACGUACCCAGGAGUGGGGGAUAACGUAGCGAAAGUCACGCUAAUACCGCAUAUUCUGUGAGCAGGAAAGCGGGGGAUCGCAAGACCUCGCGCUCUUGGAGCGGCCGAUGUCGGAUUAGCUAGUUGGUGAGGUAAAAGCUCACCAAGGCGACGAUCCGUAGCCGGUCUGAGAGGAUAAUCUGCCACACUGGGACUGAGACAGUGCCCAGACUCCUACGGGAGGCAGCAGUGGGGAAUUUUGGACAAUGGGGGCAACCCUGAUCCAGCCAGGCCGCGUGAGUGAAGAAGGCCUUCGGGUUGUAAAGCUCUUUCGGCGGGGAAGAAAUGGCAACGGCUAAUAUCCGUUGUUGAUGACGGUACCCGCAUAAGAAGCACCGGCUAACUACGUGCCAGCAGCCGCGGUAAUAC
rnacentral:rRNA from 1 species